rnacentral:rRNA from 1 species
UACGGAGGGUGCAAGCGUUAUCCGGAUUCACUGGGCUUAAAGGGUGCGUAGGUGGGCAGGUAAGUCAGUGGUGAAAUCUCCGAGCUUAACUCGGAAACUGCCAUUGAUACUAUCUGUCUUGAAUUAUCUGGAGGUGAGCGGAAUAUGUCAUGUAGCGGUGAAAUGCUUAGAUAUGACAUAGAACACCAAUUGCGAAGGCAGCUGGCUACACAAAUAUUGACACUGAGGCACGAAAGCGUGGGGAUCAAACAGG